rnacentral:rRNA from 1 species
AGUCGGUCGGUCGCGUCGGAUGUGAAAGCUCGAGGCUUAACCUCGGGUCUGCAGCCGAGACGGGCAGACUAGAGGCAGGUAGGGGAGAACGGAAUUCCCGGUGUAGCGGUGAAAUGCGCAGAUAUCGGGAGGAACACCGGUGGCGAAGGCGGUUCUCUGGGCCUGUACUGACGCUGAGGAGCGAAAGCGUGGGGAGCGAACAGG